AUUCUUGCCAAAAUAUAGAAACAUAUAAUAUGAACUCUUGCACUUCCACAUGCCCCAUGUACGCUGAGGAGAAAGACUUUUGCUUCUAGAGCCAGGAUGGCACAUGGAACCUGCUCCUCUGGCACCUGUACUUCGCUUUUUUUUUUUUAUUAUUAUUUUUUCUGACUAUAUUUCAGAAACUAAUUUUUGUCUUGUCCAUGCAACAUGUUUUCUACCAACUCUCAGUACCUCUCAAAUUGGGAGAUAAUUUAUGAGCAUGAAAGGAGAGCUUGUCUUUUUCUGGGCCAUUCGUUGAUCUUUCUAUUUUGACCAGCUAUGGUCAUUGGUUUUCACCACUAAUUAGAGAAAAAAAAAGUGUUCUGUCCUCCUUCCUAAGCUUGCAAGUUACAUCGAGCAGUCCAGUCUCUAAAAGUCAUCCAAACGAAUUCUGAUGCUGUUCCUGUUUUCUCUGUUAGCUUGGAUGCUAACACCAGAGGAAUUACAAAGGGUUUUUUCAGACUGAAUAAGUGGUAUCUUCAGGGGCUGGGCUAUUUCUUCAGUGCCAGCUGUAGCUCUGGAUACCACAACACCGCUUGCUUAGGUCUAAGGAGAAAAAGAAAAAGCACAGGUGUGAGGAAGCUUGCAUUGUACAGCUAUGUUAUCUACAAUGCAGACAAAUGAUUUAUGAUUGCGUGUUUCAUGUAACAGGAAUGAUAUUGCCAGAGGUAAGAAUAAGGAGGAAAACUCGAACUUGCUUCAGGUGACAGACGUCUUACAAAUAAAGAGGAUCCUUUUGAAUUUUCUGGCAAGUCUCAUCAGGAUAGUCCUACAGCAAAAAGGGAAAUGUGACUUUCCCUUUACGGUUGCUUAAAACUGCUCCAAAGCAACCACUGCUCACUGCCUGAGAUGUCCUUGAUAGGCAACCAGGAGAACUGGUGCCAUAACAGCUAACUGUACCGGGCUGUGUGCCCCUUCUGCUUUCAACCUGCCCUCCUGGCAUUGUGCAAUCCCACAUUAAUAUGGACACUGGUUUUGCAGGCAACUCUGACCACUUCUCCUUUUGAUUUAUUGAAAGAAACGAGAAACUCUGUAAUCAGCAGAAUUAAUGAAAUGUGUUGUCCUAGGGCUUUCCGUUCCCUUCCAGAGACUGGGAGCAUCAUAUGAUUGAUUUUUGGGGUAGCUUUUACAGGUGGCAGCUGGUAGCAGGUGCUGGGACAAUUUAAAAAUGUUCUGCUUCUCGUAGACUGGAUCAAGGGAAAUGAGGAAAUUCCUGUAAUGCUGCUAAGCUGGCAAGAGAACUUCAAUAAUAACCUGAAGCUGGUUGAGUAGUACCAAGCUGAAGCGGAAUACGAUUUGAUGUUGAUCAUAAUUAAUGUUAAUAUUCAAAAUAUAGUUCUAUCUAAAAGUAGCCAUCGCUAAUGCUCUAUCAAGAUACAUGCCGUACAUAGGUGUAUGGUGUCUGAGCCUUGAAGCAGUUGCAUCUGGUCUGAUCUAAAUCCUGCAUGGCAAUAUACGUGGGUUGAGCCCUUGAAUUAACCGUCCUGUUCCUUCUCUAUUUUCAAAGUGCUUUCUUUUUCCUUUUGACAAUUUGAAUUUAAUUUUUUAUUUAACUGGAUUAAUUAAUACGCUUCUACUUUUGCAGCUAUGUUGUGAUGCACUACGUUUGCAAUGCGUUCCUCUUGCUCUAUCACUUUUCCCUUAGCUAUGUAAGGAUGCUUUCUGAUGAAGAUCAGCACAAGGCUGAGUGCUUGGCCUGGAUUUUGGACCUUUGAGCACGCCCUGGCAGGCUGUUUGCAGCCACUAGAUGGCACGUUGCAAAAGACUCCAUCCUGAAUGGCAGCUUGAUGUUUUGGGUCUGUUAGUAUGAUUAAAGGAUAAAUAAUAUUAGACGUGUCUUUAAUAGGAGAAAAUGCACAGCAUUUACAACAGUGAUUAAGUUCUAUUAAACAGUUGUUAUUUUGGACACAGCGUGAUUACUACAUUCAAACCACUUCGUUUCCAGGCUUUAGGACCUUGGUCAUUACUAACGUAAAUCGUAAAGUUCAGUGAAUCACGUUGUAAAUAGUUUUAUUGGUUCCAUGCUGAAAAAAAAAGAGGUUUGUGAAAUUCCUUGAUGACUUAAAUUUACAUAUUUCCUAAGCCAUCCUAUUAAUGUUUUCUGUUCUUUACUUGGUUGUUCAACACUAAAGAAAUUUUAAACUCUCUUUCUGCUGUUGCAAAUGCUGAGAACAACGUGCCAAUUGAGAGCCAAGAGUUGUAUUCCUAGAACAAGUAUGCUAAAUGGAGAGAGUUGGAAUUUUGCACUCAUCUGCACACUGCUGCCAACAUGCCACAGCUAUCUGAGGGAGGAAUUACCUCCAGGGAUGAGAGUGGAACUGCUCUUACAGCUCCUGGGGAAAGGUUACAUCCUUUCACCUGGCUUCUUCUGAAAAGUGGGCAUUUAGAAACCCCUUGAGCAGCUUUUGCUGCAGCCAUUUUCUGGACUCCUGAGGAUGGUGAAGGCUCUUACUGCCACUAGCUGAGGAAACGCACAUUGCUGCUACCAGCAUGCCCUCUUGUGUUCCAGGAGAGCAUACGUGAAAGAGAACAGUUGCCCAACCUGGUAUGAAACCAGGGUCUCUGGUAAACCAGAGCAGUACCAGCAGUAUGAAGAGAACCAAAACUGCUAUCUCUGCAAACUUCAUCGAGCCCAGUUUCUUGUUCUCCUCCCUGAUA